CCCAGCUGUAGGCAACUGCCUAGGUUACCUUGUUUCUAGGUAAGGAUUACACUGCUGGGAGAAAAGCAGCCAAUAUCUGGCAGGUACUCUGGGCCUGCUUAAUGCCAAACAUGUGUUAACUGU
rnacentral:snoRNA from 1 species